rnacentral:rRNA from 1 species
UACGUAGGGUGCAAGCGUUGUCCGGAAUUAUUGGGCGUAAAGAGCUCGUAGGCGGUCUGUCGCGUCUGCUGUGAAAACCUGGGGCUUAACCCCGGGCCUGCAGUGGGUACGGGCAGACUAGAGUGUGGUAGGGGAGACUGGAAUUCCUGGUGUAGCGGUGAAAUGCGCAGAUAUCAGGAGGAACACCAAUAGCGAAGGCAGCUCGCUGGGACGGUACUGACGCUAAGGCGCGAAAGCGUGGGGAGCGAACAGG